GUGCCUGUAGCUCAGCUGGAUAGAGUACAAGUUUGCGGAACUUGAGGUCAAAGGUUCGAAUCCUUUCAGGCACGCCA
rnacentral:tRNA from 1 species